rnacentral:rRNA from 1 species
GACGAACGCUGGCGGCGUGCUUAACACAUGCAAGUCGAGCGGUAAGGCCUCUUCGGGGGUACACGAGCGGCGAACGGGUGAGUAACACGUGGGUGACCUGCCCUCAGCUCUGGGAUAAGCCUGGGAAACUGGGUCUAAUACCGGAUAUGACCUUUCCUCGCAUGGGGUUUGGUGGAAAGUUUUUUCGGCUGGGGAUGGGCCCGCGGCCUAUCAGCUUGUUGGUGGGGUGAUGGCCUACCAAGGCGACGACGGGUAGCCGGCCUGAGAGGGCGACCGGCCACACUGGGACUGAGACACGGCCCAGACUCCUACGGGAGGCAGCAGUGGGGAAUAUUGCGCAAUGGGCGGAGGCCUGACGCAGCGACGCCGCGUGGGGGAUGACGGCCUUCGGGUUGGAAACCUCUUUCGACCCCGACGAAUUUGGACGGUAGGGGUAGAAGAAGCACUGGCCAACUACGUG